AAAAAUGUGAAAAUGAUGAAGGAACUUAGCCAGUAAUAUGCAAUUAAAUAUUUAAUACAUGGCUCUCUAAAUCCAUAGAAAAUGAAUUAAUAUGUUCUCUUCAAAGAAGAAGACUCCUUUACAGUGAUCCACAUGGGAGAUGGUGGUGAGAGAACAGGCUGGCUGGAGACACAUUCAGAAGGAAGACCCACAGAGCAUUCUUACAGGACAGAAGAGAGUAAUCAGAAGAGGGUUUCCAGUA